rnacentral:rRNA from 1 species
GAGGAAGGUGGGGAUGACGUCAAGUCCUCAUGGCCUUUAUGUCCAGGGCUACACACGUGCUACAAUGGCGCGUACAGAGGGAAGCCAAGCCGCGAGGUGGAGCAGACCCCAGAAAGCGCGUCGUAGUUCGGAUUGCAGUCUGCAACUCGACUGCAUGAAGUCGGAAUCGCUAGUAAUCGCGGAUCAGCAUGCCGCGGUGAAUACGUUCCCGGGCCUUGUACACACCGCCCGUCACACCAUGGGAGUGGAUUGUACCAGAAGCAGCUAGCCUAACCUUCGGGAGGGCGGUUACCACGGUAUGGUUCAUGACUGGGGUGAAGUCGUAACAAGGUAGCCGUAA